rnacentral:lncRNA from 1 species
AAAGAAAGUAAGAAGAGGAAAAGUGAGUCAGAGAGAGUGAACUUGUAAGAGUCCUAAAAGUGUGAGAUAGAGUGUCCAUCCAAGCAACUUUAUCUCUGUUUUUCUUUUCCUUUUUUUUUCUUUUUUUUUUUUUUUUUUGCCCCCUCCAAAGAACAGCAAUAAACAAAUGGCUUCUGAAAUCUUUGUGCAAUCGGCCCUGGCACCAUGACGACAGAGGCACGGAGAACCAUCCUAGAAGGAUUGAAGCUAAAAGAUCUAAAGGCAAAGAACUACCUCUUCCAAACAACUAAUCGUUCUAUCUUGGAAACCCAGCAAAGAAAGUUCCAAGCAGAUUUGGGAUUCUACAAAGAAAAAAUUUCAGGGGACGGAAAAGGCAAAAAGGCAGCAGCUUCAACAUCUCUGUACAAAAUUUGAAAUACUCGGUAUGAAGUCAGGAGAGACCAUAUCUAAUUUUUUUUCCGGAACAAUGGCAAUUGUUAACAAGAUGCAAGUCCAUAAGUAGAAGAUAGAAGACAUGAUAGUGGUUGAGAAAAUUCUUCAAUCGUUGACGUUGAAAUUCAAUUAUGUAGUUUGUUCAAUUGAAGAAUUUAAAGUAAUAUUUGAUGAACUAGUAGGUUCAUUACUGGUCGAUGAACAUAAAAUGAUCCAGCGAGAUAAAGAAUAGAACGCACUGCAAGUCUCCACCGACAAUCUGUCUUCAACGCCAUCUAGAGCCAAUUGAGGAAAAGGCCGAGGUAGAAGAUAAAAUGACCGUAGACAACAACAAAAAAUGAAGAUAAACAAGUUCUUGAUUCUCAAGGAAAAGGAAGAGGGAGAGGUCGAACAGUUACCAUUCAUCCACUUACAGACAAAAGUCAAAAGAUAAGUCCAAUAUUGAGUGCUUUAGAUGUCACAUAUAUGGCCAUUAUUAGUUUGAAUGUCGCACUAAUUUGAAUAAAGAACAUGGUGAAAAAUCUAACUUUGCAGAUCAGCAAAAAAAAGUUGUCUCACUCUUAAUCGCAUGCCAUGCAAUGGAGGAAACUUCCCAAAAUAUGUGGUAUUUGGACACCCACUCUAGCAAUCAUGUGUGUGGAGAUAAGUCUAUUGGAAUAAUUAAUUAUUCCAUAUGUAGGUUUCACAUUGAAUUGCAAAUUUUACGGGUUAGAUGUAUGGUUCAUAAUGAUAUUUGUGUUUGGACCAAAUUUAUUAAGGAUCAAUUGGGCCUUUUACACCUUACGGGUUGUAAUUAAUUUUAUGUGGUAGUUUAAAGUAUGUGGGCCAAAAAUAAAUCCUAAUUAGAAUUCUAGUCGUAAUGGGACGACUCAAAUUAUUUCCUAUAUAUAAAGGCUAGGUCCCCUCUCCUCUCCAUAUGUUUUCAUUAGCUUGCUCCAUUGAUAGCUAAUACUUUUGUGAGGAGCAAGGAAGGGAAGAUCUUGACUGCUAUUACAACUACUAUUCAUAUCAACAAUGACUUCCGCAGGUAUGAAUUUGGUUUAUUAAUUUAUUAUUUGGUGAUUCUUGAUUCUUAGCAUGAUUACAAAUUAAAAUUCAACAAUUGGUAUCAGAGCCUUCAUGCUAAGAUCAGAAUCAUACACAAAAAUAAUAUUCUAUCUCGAUUAUUUUAAACUUUUGUUAAGCACUGUCCCAAAAAAAAAAAAAAUAAUAAUAAUAAUAAUAAUAAUAAUAAUAAUAAUAAUAAUAAUAAAUUGGACGUUUGGCCUUCUGCACGCUUUUGUCACUUAUCUUUGUCUUUUUGAAUUUGUAAUUCAUAAUUCUUCACAUUCGUAUACUGUUAAUAGCAUGGUUUAAGUAGAAAAAUUUCAAUUAUAAGUAAAUUUAUGGAUGAUUAUAAGUCUGAAUAGACCGACACGUAGGCCCAACGUUCCAUGAAUUUGCAUCUCUGAAUUAUGGUCUCAGGCUAUUUUCGUUUUAGUUUCAAUUGGGUUUUCAUUGUGGAUCCAGUAAUAUUCAUAUAAUUGUGAUGCAAAACUUGAUCUAGAAACCAUGUUACUAAUAUUAGUUUUUAUUUAACAUUAUUCAUCAUUAUCAGCAUUAUACUAUACGAUUACUGUGGUUCUUCAAGAUUUUAUUUUUUUUUUUAUUUUUUUUUUGGUGGACUUCUUGUGUAUGAAAGAUCGGAAGUUUGCUUGACUGUGUCAAACCCAGUUGCUAUUUGGGUGAGGCUCCGGCCGACUGCUACUUGUCUGGUUGAGGUGCCGGUCACACCAGGGGUGGAGCCCCAUUAGGCCAUCUGCCCGCACUGAACUUUUGGGCUCCAAUAGGCCCAAUUUAUUUUUUUUGUUUGGGUAAAGCCUGUUUAAUUAAAAAGGCCCAAUUUCCCGACCCGACUUCUUGAAUCAGUCCAUGGGCCGUUUAGUGACCCGACCCGAACCGACCCGACUUCUUGAAUCAAUUAUAACCCGUUCAAUUCAUGUUUCCAAUUUCCAAACCCUUGCAAACUUGAAAUCUUGAAUCACGUCUCUCCUCUCUGCUCUCAACCGGUGCCGUCGCCGCUUCUCGCCAGUCGGCAACUACUCCAACUCGCAAGCGACGCCGACUCAACUUCCACUCUUCCAGUCCACCGCCAGGUCCGCCACUGCUACGAGCGUCUGCCACUGCUUCUGCGGCUCUGCCGAGUUCCGACCGAAGCUGGAAGUUGCCCAACGAAGAACUAAGAAGGUGAUUGAAAGUUACCUUGCUUACCUAAUGUAUCUUUCAGUGAAGAUGGAGUGUGGAAAAUUCUGAAAAUUGAAAUUGUGAAAAUUCUGAAAAUUGAAAUUCUGAAUCACGUCUCUCCUCUCGCCUCUCGGGUUCUGCAGUCUACAGACUCUGCACUACUUAAUUUAAUAAAUUUAUGAAUGUUAGUGUUAGUGUGUAAUGUGUUACUGGUUAAUUAUUGAAUAUUGAUGGUUCUCAUUUCUCAACUCUCAAUCUCAUGGGUUUAUAUAAAUUAUAUUUGAUAUUUCUAUUGUGGAAUUGGAAUUUGGAAAUGCUGUUAGCCUGGCUGUUACUCUGUUGUAGAGAAAUUGAUUAAGUUCAUCUUUCUCAGCCCAUCAAGGAGAUUGCCCUGGCCGUUUCUCUCCUGGUUUUUGGCGCGCUCGGAAUCUUUCUUUCAGUUUCUUGGAAUCUUGGUGCCAUUAUGGCCGUCAAUAAUGUCGGCAGUGACCACUGACCGCACCCACGGUAAAUUUUCUAUUGGAGUUUGAGUUUGAGUUUAACUGUUUUUAUUGGUGUAUUUAUUGUGGGAUUUCAACUUUCUUUCUAGUUCACUAAGUUAAUGUUCUUUAAUGAUUAACUUAAGGGGGUUUUGAAUAAUAUUCAGUAAAUUAAUAAUCUUUAGUUAUUAAUUAAGCAUUAGAUAUUUGGGGAACCCAUUUCAAUUUAUAUUGCAAUUAGUUUUUCUUUAAUAAAUACUGCUGAAGUUAUAUUGAUGCUACUAUUGUUGAUUAUUAUAGAUAUGUUUUCCAUACAGACAUGAGCAUUUUUCUGAUUAUUAUAGAUAUGUUUUCCUUUUGUCAUUAUGAAUUAUUCUCACUCACUUCAAUUAAUAAUUGGAUAUCAAAUGUUUAAAUCCAGAUAUCAAAUGAAUAGAUACUUUUAACGAAAAAGGAACGUAGAUAGUGUUGAUGAGGGGGCAUCGAAUAAUGUGGAUGUUGAUGAGGGGGCAUCGAAUAAUGUGGAGUUUGAUGUCACAAACUUCCAACUGAUCGUGGUCUAAGGAUACCAAUUUUGGAUUACAAUGCUAACAUCCGAGAUGAAGUUCGAAGAGCAUAUAAGUUAAAGGGUCCUUGUCAGCCCCAAGAUCAUGACUUUCCAAAACGACAAUUUGGAGUAACAAUUAGACGAUUCAAUCCUUCGUGGUUUAAAGAGUUCGGUAGUUGGUUGGAGUACAGUGUAGAGAAGGAUGCUGCUUAUUGUUUGUAUUGUUAUCUUUUCAGAACAAGUUCUGGAAAGCAAGGUGGAGGUGAGUCUUUUGUUGGCGAAGGUUUUACAUAUUGGAAAGAUAAGAAAAGGCUUCAUACUCAUGUUGGACUUCAUAAUAGUGCACAUAAUUAAGCUCGCAUUAAGUGUGAAGUGUUGAUGAAUCAAGAACAACACAUUCAAUCAGUUUUCUACAAACAGUCAGAACAAGCAAGAAAUGCAUAUGUUACACGCCUUAAUGCAUCCAUUGAUUGUGUUCGAGUUCUUUUGCGACAAGGGCACUCAUUUCGAGGUCAUGAUGAAUCUGAGGAUUCUUCCAAUCCAAGUAACUUCUUAGUGCAAUUGCAAUUUUUGGCUGCUCAUAAUGAAGCUAUCAAUGCCGUCACAUUGGGAAAUGCUCCUCACAAUUGCAAAUUGACAUCACCUGAUGUUCAAAAGGAUAUAGUAAAUGCUUGUGCUAUUGAAACAAUCAAUGUUAUUAUCAAAGAUGUUGGCGACUCACUAUUUUCUAUUCUAGUUGAUGAAUCUUGUGAUGUGUCAAUGAAGGAGCAAAUGUCUAUUGUUUUACGUUAUGUAGACAAUAGUGGGCAUGUCAAUGAACGCUUCAUAGGGAUUGAACAUGUUACAAGUACCACGGCUCUAUCACUUAAGGCUGCAAUUGAUAAGGUAUUUUCUAGAUAUAAUUUGAGUAUGUCUAGAUUGAGAGGACAAGGUUAUGAUGGAGCAAGUAAUAUGCAAGGUAAGUUUAAUGGUCUGAAAACACUUAUUUUGAAGGAGAGUCCAUGUGCCUUUUACAUUCACUGUUUUGCUCAUCAACUCCAACUUGCGCUUGUGGCUGUGGCAAAGAAGAACAUCCCUAUUACUAAUUUCUUUCGUGUGGUUGGGAACGUGAUAAAUACUGUUGGAGCAUUUUCCAAGCAUUGUGAUCUUCUUCGAGAAAAAUAAUUAGACUUUAUUGUUGAGGCAUUGGAAAAAGGUGAGAUUUUAAGUGGACGGGGACUAAAUCAAGAAACGACCCUUCAGCGGUCUGGUGAUACACGAUGGAGUUCACAUUAUAAUUCUUUGGUCAGCUUGCUUGCCAUGUUCUCUUCUGUUUUAGAUGUACUUGCAAUGAUUGUUGAAGAUGAAUCUUGUUCUUGUGAUCAAAGAUCUGAUGCAACAAAUUUAUUGGAGUUGAUACAAAGAUUUGAUUUUACAUUUAAUCUACAGUUGAUGAAAAGUGUAUUGGCGAUGUCAAAUGAACUGUCAAAGGCAUUGCAAAGAAAAUAUCAAGAUAUUGUGAAUGCAAUGCAAUUGGUGAGAUUGUGCAAACGAAGACUCCAAAUAAUGAGAGACGAAGGGUGGGACUCCUUUUUUGAAGAAGUAUGUUCUUUUUGUCAACAACAUUACAUUCAUGUACCCAACAUGGAUGAUAUGUUUGUACGCCUUGCAAUUCGUGGUCGCCCUCAGCGUAAUUCUCCAGAAAUUACAAAUUUACAUCAUUAUCGAGUAGAUUUGUUCUACUCUGUCAUCGAUUUACAAUUUCAAGAAUAGAAUGAUCGUUUCUCGGAGGUAAACACAGAGUUACUCCUUUGUGUAGCUUGUUUAUGCCCACAAGAUUCAUUUUCGUCUUUUGACAAGAAAAGCUUAAUUAGACUUGCUGAGCUUUAUCCAUUAGAUUUCUCUGCAGUAGAUGGCAUUGUACUUAACGAUCAACUUGAGACUUAUAUUUUGGACAUGCGCUCUAACAAAGAGUUUGAAGGGUUAAAUGGCCUUGGUGAUCUUGCGGAGAAGUUGGUUUUGACAAAGAAAGAUAAGGUAUAUCCAUUGGUUUACAGACUUUUGACUUUAGCAUUGAUUUUACCGGUUGCUACCGCUACUGUGGAGAGAGUUUUUUCAGCAAUGAACAUCGUAAAGAAUAGAUUGCGCAAUCGGAUGGGUGAUCAGUGGAUGAAUGAUAGCACUAUUGUUUAUGUAGAGAGAGAUAUAUUUUUGAAACUCGAUAAUGAAGUUAUUGUACGACGAUAUCAAAAUAUGAAAACUCGCAAGGAACAAGUUUAAUAUAUAAAUUAUGUCAUUUUUAGUGUUGUUGUAAUAUUGUUUUAAUUUUUUAUCAUCAUUAAAUCUAUGACCAAAACCUCGAAGUUCGGCGUCGAAAAAUGAUGUCCGCACUGAACAUAAAUCCUGGCUCCGCCCUUGGGUCACACCAUCCUUUGAAAUUAAAAAAAAAAUCUGGAUUUUCGUCUGAGAAACAGGCUGCAUAGAGGGAGACGGGGGCUCCUAUUAUAAAUAUCUAUCUUUCUCGCCCCUGUUUGCAAUUAAGUAAUUGGGGUGAUGCUGCAAUUUUUGAAAGAUGGGUCUUUUCAGUAAUAUGGAAAUUAGAAAGGCUUUGUUUUGUUGUUUUAACUAAGGUCGAAGAGCAGUUUUUGAAAAGGGGUUAAAUUUGAAUUUUGAUAUUGGAUUUAGAAGUCUUGACCUUAAUAUUUCAAUUUUGACCAUAAUUAAAUCUUUAAUUAAAAUUGACCCGUUUAAAAUUGUAUCAAAAUAAUUAAUUAAAUAAUAAAAAUAAAAUUAAUUGAUGACUUUUAUAUUUUCGUCAAAAUGUUUAUAUAUAUUCAAAUGUUGCUAUUUUUGUAUCCUUAAAUUUAAUUUUUCAUAUAUUUUGAAAUUUUGUUGCCAAUUUCAUCUCUCAAUCACAUAUGAAUUUUGCCUUUUAUCGAUUGAUUAUGAUUUGUUGUAUAAUUAUUGUUCUGUGAUUGAAUUUUUCAUAGGCAUUAAGAUGAUUUUCAUUUUCCCACAAAGAGAAAUAUUUUGAAAUAAAAAUGGGUGGUAGCUGCCAAAGUGGCACACUCAUUAUUAUUUAUUCAAUUUUCUCUACAAUAAAAUAUAUAUAUAUAAGUAUUUUGCACAACAAUUUGAUUUAUUGCAUAUAACAUCUUGCCCAAAGAUGUUGUUAUAUGUGAUAUUUUUGGAAAAUGACAUAAGACAGUUAACGAGCUUAUUUGGUUUAAAAAUUUCCUUCUGCCCAAAGGUGUUGGAAUUUCGAAAAUCAAGGCAAUUUUGUUAACUAGCUACAUAAUGUGUUUUAAGAGUACCUUAUAGUAUGUUGUAUUGUCGACCCAAAGAUGACUUUAUGAUGAUACAUCUAGGCUCUUACCGUAAUAAAAUUUAUAUGUUUCGAUUUAAAUUACGGAUUAUCGAAUUAAUAGCCCAUAUUAAUUAGUUGGAUAUUUCAUCAUCCAUUUGAUUGCAUGCAUUAAGUUUGGAUGAUAUAAGGAGUGAUAUUUUAUAUUUCCACAGUUUAUAAUGCCUCAUCUCUUUCGAAUCAAUUGUCUGCUAUUGAAACUUUGACUGGGAAUAACUAUGUGAGAUGGAAACGAGACGUAGAAAUAGCACUUGGUCUUUUGGGCUUGGAUUUUGCAAUGGAGAAAAAGCUUGAAAAAUCCCCAGAUAAGAGUACCGUUAAAUAUGUAGCCGAGCAUGAAAAGUGGGAAAGGGCUAACAAACUCUGUUUAAAAAUCAUUAAGCGAUCGAUAUCUGAUUCCAUUCUAGGUGCCAUCCCUGAUAAUGAAAAUGUCAAAAGGUUUAUGGAUGCCAUAGGAGAAAAAUUUGUUGAGUCUGAUAAAGCCAAAACUGGGGAUCUGAUGGAUAAAUUGAUGAGCAUGAGAUAUGAUGGCACAAAUGGUGUUAGGGAGCAUGUCAUGAAAAUGAUAAAUAUAUCAUCUAAGCUAAAGGCUCUUGACAUUCCCAUUGCGGAGCCUUUCCUAGUCUAUCAUGUUUUUAAUAGCCUUCCUAACAAGUUUAAUCAGCUCAAGGUUGCUUACAAUGCUCAACGGGAUAAAUGUAAUUUGAAUGACCUCACAGCAAUGUGUGCCCAAGAAGAGUAUAGGAUGCGCCGUGAAACUGUUGAAACUGUACAAUUAGCUCUUCAGCCAUCACAGAAUAAGGGGCCUUCUCAUAAUCAUAAACCUAAGUUUCGUAAGGGUAAUAAGUCCCAUCGAAGUCAGCAGAAUAAAAAUUUUAGUGGUCCCAAAGCAAUUAUAAAGAAAAAUGAUCAAUGCAAGUUCUGUAAAAAGAAGGGUCACUGGCAGAAAGACUGUUUUAAGUUCAAGACUUGGUUGGAAACGAAGAAGAGUUCUUCAGGUAUUCCCUUGGCCUUAGUUUAUUUUGAGUCUUCUUUAGUAGAUGUACCUUUGAAUUCUUGGUGGUUAGACUCGGGAGCUGGUAUUCAUAUUGCGAAUUCCUUGCAGGGGUUCAUAAGCAAACGGAGGCCAAGUGAGAAUGAAGUAAACUUGAGCGUUGCAAAUGGAUUCCAAGUGAAGGUUGAAUUCAUAGGAGUAGUGAAGUUAAGUUUAGAGUCUGGUUUUUAUCUUGUUUUGGAAAAUACAGUUUAUGUACCGCAGAUGAGAUGAAAUUUAAUUUCUAUACCAAAACUUGAUGCUUGUGGUUUUACAUUUAAUUUUGGUAAUGG